UACGAAGGGGGCUAGCGUUGUUCGGAAUUACUGGGCGUAAAGCGCACGUAGGCGGAUACUUAAGUCAGGGGUGAAAUCCCGGGGCUCAACCCCGGAACUGCCUUUGAUACUGGGUAUCUCGAGUCCGGAAGAGGUGAGUGGAACUCCGAGUGUAGAGGUGAAAUUCGUAGAUAUUCGGAGGAACACCAGUGGCGAAGGCGGCUCACUGGUCCGGUACUGACGCUGAGGUGCGAAAGCGUGGGGAGCAAACAGG
rnacentral:rRNA from 1 species